rnacentral:rRNA from 1 species
GACGAACGCUGGCGGCGUGCUUAACACAUGCAAGUCGAACGGAAAGGCCCUGCUUGCAGGGUGCUCGAGUGGCGAACGGGUGAGUAACACGUGGGUGAUCUGCCCCUUACUUUGGGAUAAGCCUGGUAAACUGGGUCUAAUACUGGAUAGGACCAUGCUGUAGGUGGUGUGGUGGAAAGAUGAGUUUCGGUAAGGGAUGAGCUCGCGGCCUAUCAGCUUGUUGGUGGGGUAAUGGCCUACCAAGGCGUCGACAGGUAGCCGGCCUGAGAGGGUGGACGGCUACAUUGGGACUGAGAUACGGCCCAGACUCCUACGGGAGGCAGCAGUGGGGAAUAUUGCACAAUGGGCGCAAGCCUGAUGCAGCGACGCCGCGUGGGGGAUGACGGCCUUCGGGUUGUAAACUCCUUUCAGCCAUGACGAAGCCCUUGUGGUGACGGUAGUGGUAGAAGAAGCACCGGCUAACUACGUG